rnacentral:tRNA from 1 species
GCCCCUAUAGCUCAACUGGCAGAGCAACCGGCUUUUAACCGGUGGGUUCCAGGUUCAAACCCUGGUAGGGGCACAA